rnacentral:rRNA from 1 species
AGAGUUUGAUCAUGGCUCAGGACGAACGCUGGCGGCACGCUUAACACAUGCAAGUCGAACGAGCGAUGAGAGCUUGCUCUCAAAGCGAGUGGCGGACGGGUGAGUAACACGUGAGCAACCUGCCUUUAAGAGGGGAAUAACGUUUGGAAACGAACGCUAAUACCGCAUAAUACAGAAGAUUCGCAUGUUUCUUCUGUCAAAGAUUUAUCGCUUAAAGAUGGGCUCGCGUCUGAUUAGCUGGUUGGUGAGGUAACGGCCCACCAAGGCGACGAUCAGUAGCCGUGCUGAGAGGUAGAACGGCCACAUUGGGACUGAGACACGGCCCAGACUCCUACGGGAGGCAGCAGUGGGGAAUAUUGCACAAUGGAGGAAACUCUGAUGCAGCGAUGCCGCGUGAGGGAAGAAGGUUUUCGGAUUGUAAACCUCUGUCUUCAGGGACGAAAAUGACGGUACCUGAGGAGGAAGCUCCGGCUAACUACGUGCCAGCAGCCGCGGUAAUACGUAGGGAGCGAGCGUUGUCCGGAAUUACUGGGUGUAAAGGGAGCGUAGGCGGGGCUUUAAGUCAGGUGUGAAAUGUAUGGGCUCAACCCGUAAACUGCACUUGAAACUGAGGCUCUUGAGUGAAGUAGAGGCAGGCGGAAUUCCUAGUGUAGCGGUGAAAUGCGUAGAUAUUAGGAGGAACAUCAGUGGCGAAGGCGGCCUGCUGGGCUUUUACUGACGCUGAGGCUCGAAAGCGUGGGGAGCAAACAGGAUUAGAUACCCUGGUAGUCCACGCUGUAAACGAUGAUUACUAGGUGUGGGGGGACUGACCCCUUCCGUGCCGCAGUU